CUGUGAAAUGAUGUGUUUUUUGUAGAUGCCCAUGCUAUUGCUCGCGUUGCCCACGUGAAAUAAUGCAUGUAGCCUUGUUAUAUGCUAUUUAUGAAAUAUAGAUUUUGCCUUUCUAUCAGCCUGGUAUUCUGAACUAUAAUCUGAAAUUUAAUCUAUCGAAUAGCAACAUAGCAUGAGUGUGUCAUGACUCAUGAGGCUAGUGUUUGACUGAAUUUGUGCUACAUUUAUAUGGUGGAUUCACUUCGCGAUUUGUCCUGUUC
rnacentral:sRNA from 1 species